rnacentral:rRNA from 1 species
GGUGAACGCUGGCGGCGUGCCUAAGGCAUGCAAGUCGAGCGGGCCGCGGGGUUUUACUCCGUGGUCAGCGGCGGACGGGUGAGUAACGCGUGGGUGACCUACCCGGAAGAGGGGGACAACCCGGGGAAACUCGGGCUAAUCCCCCAUGUGGACCCGCCCCUUGGGGUGUGUCCAAAGGGCUUUGCCCGCUUCCGGAUGGGCCCGCGUCCCAUCAGCUAGUUGGUGGGGUAAUGGCCCACCAAGGCGACGACGGGUAGCCGGCCUGAGAGGGUGGCCGGCCACAGGGGCACUGAGACACGGGCCCCACUCCUACGGGGGGCAGCAGUUAGGAAUCUUCCGCAAUGGGCGCAAGCCUGACGGAGCGACGCCGCUUGGAGGAAGAAGCCCUUCGGGGUGUAAACUCCUGAACCCGGGACGAAACCCCCGACGAGGGGACUGACGGUACCGGGGUAAUAGCGCCGGCCAACUCCGUG